GACGAACGCUGGCGGCGUGCUUAACACAUGCAAGUCGAACGGUGAAGCGCCUUCCUUUUUGGUGGGUGUGGAUGAGUGGCGAACGGGUGAGUAACACGUGAGUAACCUGCCCCCUUCUUCUGGAUAACCGCAUGAAAGUGUGGCUAAUACGGGAUAUUCUGGGUCUGUCGCAUGAUGGGUCUGGGAAAGAUAUUGUUUCGGUGGGGGAUGGGCUCGCGGCCUAUCAGCUUGUUGGUGGGGUGAUGGCCUACCAAGGCGGUGACGGGUAGCCGGCCUGAGAGGGUGGACGGUCACACUGGGACUGAGACACGGCCCAGACUCCUACCGGAGGCAGCAGUGGGGAAUAUUGCACAAUGGGCGCAAGCCUGAUGCAGCGACGCCGCGUGAGGGAUGGAGGCCUUCGGGUUGUGAACCUCCUUCGCCAGUGAAGCAGGCCUGCCUCGUUUGUGGGUGGGUUGACGGUAGCUGGAUAAGAAGCGCCGGCUAACUACGUG
rnacentral:rRNA from 1 species